AUUUGAUGGUGGGGGCAACUUGAACAAAGAUUCUUGAACCUUUCCCAAUAUUCGUAGAGGCUCUUCCCAGACUAUUGCUUGAUGCCAGAAAUUUCCUUCCUUAUGGU